GUGUCAGCCGCCGCGGUAAUACGGAGGAUGCAAGCGUUAUCCGGAAUGAUUGGGCGUAAAGCGUCCGCAGGUGGCAGUGUAAGUCUGCUGUUAAAGAGCAAAGCUUAACUUUGUAAAAGCAGUGGAAACUACACAGCUAGAGUACGGUCGGGGCAGAGGGAAUUCCUGGUGUAGCGGUGAAAUGCGUAGAGAUCAGGAAGAACACCGGUGGCGAAGGCGCUCUGCUAGGCCUGUACUGACACUGAGGGACGAAAGCUAGGGGAGCGAAUGGGAUUAGAAACCCCUGUAGUCC
rnacentral:rRNA from 1 species